AGCUAACUGACAAGUCCCACAUAGGACGAAACGCGCUUCCUAGAU
rfam:Schistosoma margrebowiei strain Zambia genome assembly, scaffold: SMRZ_scaffold0000965